AAGACCUUGCGCUUUUGGAGCGGCCGAUGUCUGAUUAGCUAGUUGGUAGGGUAAUGGCCUACCAAAGCUUCGAUCAGUAGCUGGUCUGAGAGGACGACCAGCCACACUGGGACUGAGACACGGCCCAGACUCCUACGGGAGGCAGCAGUGGGGAAUUUUGGACAAUGGGCGCAAGCCUGAUCCAGCCAUGCCGCGUGAGUGAAGAAGGCCUUCGGGUUGUAAAGCUCUUUCAGCCGGGAAGAAAAGGCUACGACGAAUAAUCGUAGCUCAUGACGGUACCGGAAGAAGAAGCACCGGCUAACUACGUGCCAGCAGCCGCGGUAAUACGUAGGGUGCGAGCGUUAAUCGGAACUACUGGGCGUAAAGGGUGCGCAGGCGGUUUUGUAAGUCAGAUGUGAAAUCCCCGGGCUUAACCUGGGAACU
rnacentral:rRNA from 1 species